rnacentral:rRNA from 1 species
UACGAAGGGAGCUAGCGUUGUUCGGAAUCACUGGGCGUAAAGCGCACGUAGGCGGUUGGGUCAGUCAGGGGUGAAAUCCCGGAGCUCAACUUCGGAACUGCCUUUGAUACAGCACGUCUUGAGUCCGGAAGAGGUGGGUGGAAUUCCUAGUGUAGAGGUGAAAUUCGUAGAUAUUAGGAAGAACACCGGUGGCGAAGGCGGAUCUCUGGGCCGAUACUGACGCUGAGGAGCGAAAGCGUGGGGAGCGAACAGG